GAAUUUUAUAUAAAAUUUAUAAUUAAAUUUAUAUUCAUAUAUAUAUAAAAUUUUAUAUUUAGUUGGGAGGAUUAUUAAAUUUUAUUAACUUUAAUUAAAAUAAACAAUAUAGAUUAAUAAAUUAAAGAAUGAUAAAUAAAUUAAAUAAAAAUUAAUUACCUUAGGGAUAACAGCAUAAUAUUUUUGAAGAGAACAUAUCGAUAAAAAUGUUUGU
rnacentral:rRNA from 1 species